UUUUUAUGAUGAUUACCUAUGAUAUUUAAACUUUUCUUUCUGGCAUCUCUAAUGUUAGAGCUUUUCAGCUCGAUGAAUAUAAAAUUGACAACUAUCUGACA
rnacentral:snoRNA from 1 species